rnacentral:tRNA from 1 species
GGCCCAUUAGCUCAGUUGGUUAGAGCGCCGUGCUAAUAACGCGGAGGUCCUGGGUUCGAUCCCCAUAUGGGCCA